rnacentral:rRNA from 1 species
AGUGAACGCUGGCGGUAGGCCUAACACAUGCAAGUCGAACGGCAGCACAGGAGAGCUUGCUCUCUGGGUGGCGAGUGGCGGACGGGUGAGGAAUACAUCGGAAUCUACCUUUUCGUGGGGGAUAACGUAGGGAAACUUACGCUAAUACCGCAUACGUCCUAAGGGAGAAAGUGGGGGAUCGCAAGACCUCACGCGGAUAGAUGAGCCGAUGUCGGAUUAGCUAGUUGGCGGGGUAAAGGCCCACCAAGGCGACGAUCCGUAGCUGGUCUGAGAGGAUGAUCAGCCACACUGGAACUGAGACACGGUCCAGACUCCUACGGGAGGCAGCAGUGGGGAAUAUUGGACAAUGGGCGCAAGCCUGAUCCAGCCAUACCGCGUGGGUGAAGAAGGCCUUCGGGUUGUAAAGCCCUUUUGUUGGGAAAGAAAUCCUGUUGAUUAAUACUCGAUAGGGAUGACGGUACCCAAAGAAUAAGCACCGGCUAACUUCGUGCCAGCAGCCGCCGUAA